UACUUUCAAAGUUAUAGUUUUAAAAUUUUAAAAUUAUAGAAAAUAUUUUUAUUUUAAAAUUUUAUAAUAUUAAUUAAAAUAUAAUAGAUAUAUUUUAGUAUUUUUAUAAUUCCAUUUUAAAAAAUUUAUUGAAUAUUUUUAUUUUAUUUUGUAUUUAUAUUUAUAUGGUUUUAAAAAAAAAAGAAAAAAAAAUUAUCCUCCCGCAACUGUCCGCAACCGCAAACGCUAGCUGGAACCAGCUUUUGAAUUUAAGAGGUUUGGAGCGGUUUGAAGCGAUUUGUAGCGGUUUGAAGCGAUUUGUAGCGGUUUGUAUGAUUGUUUCGAAACGCUGUCAACCGCUAUCAACCGCAAAAGUUGCGUUUGCGGGUGGUAGCGGGGAAACCAAUCAAGCUCUAAGUAUCAAACAUUUGAAAGUCCAUUUCAUUUUAUUUAAACAGUAUCACAUCACACACAAUGAAACAACAACUCAACAAACAACAACUAACAAGAUCAAUAAGAUCGUUACAACUCGUAAAUUACUGAUGAAGACCUUUACCACGUAUAGAAGUACUGCCGUUAGAGCUGAUCUUCAUUCCUUUGCUGAUAUGUAUAUUUCCAACCCCGUUUCCUGUUUUUUAGUUUGAUAAACCAUGAAUCAAUUACUAAUGACAUGCAUUUCUUAAAUUAGGGUUUCUCUAUUGUUCAAAAAAUGAAUUUAUUGAAAAUUUAUAAGAAUAUAACGGUGAAUCAAUUAUUAAUGACAUGCAUCUAGCCUUGGGGCCAGAACUCAUCUUAGUCUCUUUUCAGUUUAAUGAAGGAAUAUGUUGCUCAAAAAAAUAUGAUCCAUCAACGAUUGGAUCAUAGUAUCAUACAUAUAUACAACAACAGAAAUGUUACCAGUUUAGUUAUAUCAUCACUUUAUCGAUCAAAGUCAAAUAUCAGUUUUACUAAAUACACAAUACACCGGUACUCCCCACAUAUACGGCUUUCACGUGACAUGUACAUCCACAAAUAAAUCUGACUUAUGCCAUCACACACACACACACACAUACACAAUCUCAAAAUAACCAUAGAAUAAACAGAGAGGAGUGAUGGAAACUUACUAGAGUGCGAGAUGAGUAAGUUUCGUUGGCCAAAGCUGGGGUCAAUUAGUGCAAUGGACAAGAUGAACAUUACACCAAUUAAGAAACCCAACUUCCAUUUCAUCAUCUUUUUUUUUUUCUGAUAGCUUAACGACGUUGAAGAACACUUAAUUGUGGUCCUAUAUAAUAGGAUAUAGAGAAACCGCGUUGUUAAAUUAUUACAAAUGUACAACGAACGAUGCAUGUAUAACGUUAAUUGUGAAAUGGAACCUUAGCCGCUCAAUGCCAUUGUCUUUCUGACGUUCUGUGACCCUGUCAUCUCAGUGUCUUGUUU
rnacentral:lncRNA from 1 species